UACGUAGGGGGCAAGCGUUGUCCGGAAUCAUUGGGCGUAAAGCGCGUGUAGGCGGCUUGGUAAGUCCGCUCUGAAAGCCCGGGGCUCAACCCCGGGAGGCGGGUGGAUACUGUCAAGCUCGAGUCCGGAAGAGGCGAGUGGGAUUCCUGGUGUAGCGGUGAAAUGCGCAGAUAUCAGGAGGAACACCGAUGGCGAAGGCAGCUCGCUGGGACGGUACUGACGCUGAGGCGCGAAAGCGUGGGGAGCGAACAGG
rnacentral:rRNA from 1 species